GAUGAAGAACGCAGCGAAAUGCGAUAAGUAAUGUGAAUUGCAGAAUUCAGUGAAUCAUCGAAUCUUUGAACGCACAUUGCGCCCCCUGGUAUUCCGGGGGGCAUGCCUGUUCGAGCGUCAUUUCAACCCUCAAGCUCUGCUUGGUAUUGAGUCCAUGUCAGCAAUGGCAGGCUCCAAAAUCAGUGGCGGCGCCGCUGGGUCCUGAACGUAGUAAUAUCUCUCGUUACAGGUGCUCGGCGUGCUUCUGCCAAAACCCCAAUUUUUCUAUGGUUGACCUCGGAUCAGGUAGGGAUACCCGCUGAACUUAAGCAUAUCAAUAACGGAGGA
rnacentral:misc_RNA from 1 species